ACCCAGGGCAUUAAAACCACUUCAGUCUAAUAGCCUUCUAUUUAUUUUAAGACUUUCUACAUGUCUUAUCAACCUGAAUCUUUUUUUUCUAACUCUGACAGAUGGAGAACAACCUGUGUCUUGUGUUGGUGCUAAUUCCUCUAGUUGCUAACACCAAAGCAACAACAUUGCUAACCAUGCCUACUAAAGAUUCUGCUGUUGUUCCUGGUCUAUGCUGAAAUUCCACAUCAAGGACCCUGACAUCUACAUCAAGGUCAGUCUCUGGAAUCUUUCAUGAAACAUUGGUGCAAUUUCCUAUUGUUGCCCCAAUGAUUAGCCCACAUCUGCCGUUAUUGCAGAAACUAGAAC
rnacentral:lncRNA from 1 species